CAAUCUCCUUCAGCAAACACUGUAGGACGACCUCCGUGGUUAGUUGAAACCUUCAUCUGGUUGGAAAUCCCGAAUUUUGAAACCCUAGGUUGGUUUGUUCCCGUUGGAAGAGAUAAGGUGGAGCUCCAAUUGCCUUCUGCACCUGGUAGGUAUUAAUUCAUUAGACUUGGGUUUGUGUUUAAUUGAUAUAAUUGAAAAUGGGUAUUGUCUUCUCAUGAUGACCGUC
rnacentral:sRNA from 1 species